rnacentral:lncRNA from 1 species
CUCUGAAGGUGUAGUUUUGAAAGAACUUUGAGAAAAUGUUUAAAAAUUUAGAGAAACACAUAUAUACAACAGAUCUAAAAGAAUUGAAAAAUAAUAUCGAGGGGUUAGGGUUUCAGAAGAACCCAUGUAGUGAGAAAGGCUUGGUAGAGUCACUGAUCUGAGCCAGAGAAGUUGAGAUCAGGCUCGAAUGGUCGUGGCUGGACGGAGCAAGGUUAGUGAAGGCCAUAGAACUCUAGUCAAACAAGGUCCGGGACAAGAUUUUCCAUGGCAAAGACUUGAAACUACAAUAACCAGGCGUGCAAGAGCUAUAGGAGGCCGGUGUAGGACUUCAAUGGCUUUGGAAGCCAUGGAUUCCGGUGGCUUUUAGGGAAAAAAUGGAAAGAGACGGCUAGGAAUUCUAAGAGAUACUGAGAGAGAGUUUGAG